GAACGCACAUUGCGCCCCUUGGUAUUCCAUGGGGCAUGCCUGUUCGAGCGUCAUCUACACCCUCAAGCUCUGCUUGGUGUUGGGCGUCUGUCCCGCCUCGGCGCGCGGACUCGCCCCAAAUCCAUUGGCAGCGUCCCUUGCCCCCUCUCGCGCAGCACAUUGCGCUUCUCGAGGGCGGCUCCGGGGCGCGACCCACCGAAGAUGACCAACCGUCUUUGACCUCGGAUCAGGUAGGGAUACCCGCUGAACUUAAG
rnacentral:misc_RNA from 1 species